ensembl:misc_RNA 7SK 7SK RNA
GGAUGUGAAGGCUAUCUGGCUGUGGCAUCUGUCACCCCAUUGAUCCUCAGGGUUGAUUUGGCUGAUCUGGCUGGCUAGGCAGGUGUCCCCUUCCUCCCUCACUGCUCCACCCCUAGCAAAACUGAUAGAAGAGGACUAGCAUUCCUGAUAGAGGAGGACCGGUCUUUAGCUCCCCUGCUAGAACUUCCAAACAAGCUUGCAAGGUCCAGAAUCCUAUGGCUAGAAGACUUUAGCUUGUACAGACAUAUAAAUAAUAUAGAUGUAGAUAGAAAUAGAUUU